rnacentral:lncRNA from 1 species
ACAAUGGAAUAUUACUCAGCUAUUAGAAAUGACAAAUACCCACCAUUUGCUUCAACGUGGAUGGAACUGGAGGGUAUUAUGCUGAGAUUUUUAUUUUAUUCUAUGGGUUUUAACUCAUUAGUAUCAUUAUUUUGAUGCAUCAGCUAUCUCAUAUUAAGCUAGUAGGAUCCUCUUCAAGCUUGUUCCUUUACACUUUUGACAUGUCCCCAUCAUUCUUUGAACCUACAUUUACACAAUGUAACUUAUCUUACAACAAGUUAUUAUAGGCUAAUUCAAUUCCUCCCUGCCCUAGCAUCAUAAUUGGUCAUAGCUCAAUGGAUUCUGAUUGUGAGGGUUUGUUUUAAUGGGGAUACAGUCUCAUAAUAGGAAUGAUUUCAAAGUGAGGGGAAAAUUGGCCAUAUAGGAAAGAGAAAGGAGAAUUACUGGAGUGAUGUUCUUGAGAAGGUGAGAGGAGAUGAAGUUUAGUUUCUAAAUAGAGGGUUUGGCCUUAGCAUAGUAGCCCAGACAGGUUGCCCCUAAUAGUAUGGGUGAAGGCAGAGAGUGUGGGCAUAAAUGAUAAUAGGUGAGUAGAUGUGGUAGUGGGAGCUUAUGGCAAUUCUUUUCUUGUUUCUUUUUUAUUUUCUCGAUGAAAUAGAAGCAUGGUCAUCAUCAGAGCAUGAAUUUGAGGGAGGGAGUAUGUGUUAAAAGUUUGAGGCGAGAGGAGAAGGUAUAAAUUAGUUUUCUAAGAGAAUGAUAAAAUAAAUGGUAGUAAGACUGCCAGGCAGCAUUAAAUACCUACUUCAAGUUAAUUGUCAGAAAGACUUUAUUGAGUUCGGUGCUUCUCUUUUUCUAAGCUUUGGUGUUUCUCAGGGGUUUGGUGAUUCCUGGUUUUCUGGUUCAGAUCCUGUUUGAGUUUUUGGGCAAACUUCAUUGCUGCUUAUGUUGCACAAAAGAGGUUUGGGUUGGGUAGAAUUGCCUGGUUGUUCCCCCUUUACCUUCCCAUUUAAUCAUCCAGAUGAAUUCCCCAAAGCCACUUCAUGUUUUAGUAUCCACUGUGAGUAGGUUUGGUGCUUCCCAAAUAAAUCCUAACUUUGUAGUAGUAUUCUCCACGUAUGUGUUUGAAGCUUUGGUUUCCAUAGAUUUUGUUUCCCUGUGGAUGUGAUCUAUUGUUUUCUGUUCCUUUGGAGAUUGCCCACUAUUUAUGAUCUGUGGAUGGCACUCUUCUAUUUUUCUGGGAUGUUAUGACUUUAUUCUAGUUUAAAAAAAAUCUUGGGGAGGUGGGGCAAGAUGUCGGAAGAGUAGGAUCCCCAAGUCACCUGUCCCCACCAACUUAUCUAGAUAACUUCCAAAUAAUCCCGAAAACCUAGUAAUUCGGCCUGAGAUUUAAAGAGAGAACAGCUGGAAUGCUGCAGUGAGAACAGUUUGUGCCUCUAACAAGGUAGGAAGAUGGAAAAAAAAAA